GUCUACAGCCACCCCACCCUGAACACACAACAUCUCAUCUGAUCGGGGAAGCUAAGCAGGGUGGGGCCUGAUUAGUACCUGAGAGGGAGAAAAACUCUCAAGACAGCCUCUGGCCGGCAUGGGAC
rnacentral:rRNA from 1 species